rnacentral:tRNA from 1 species
GGAUUGGGACUCAGCGGUAGAGCGCUUGCCUAGCAUGUACGAGGCCCUGGGUUCGAUCCUCAGCACCA